rnacentral:lncRNA from 1 species
CUGCUUCCCAGAGCUGUGGUGUCUAAUUAGUGAGAUGGAGGUGAAGGACACCUCUCAGUCAUUGCUGCUGCUGCGAACAGCUGCCAACGUCAUCACAAGGCAUUUGUCAGGGGCCUGCAGGACUCACUGUAAGAUGUGUGAACCCAAAAGUAUCUGAGACAGGUCUCAAUCCAUUUCGAAAGUUCAUUUUGCCAAGGUUAAGGACAUGCCCGUGACACAGCCUCAGGAGGUCCUGACAACAGGUGCCCAAGGUGUUUGGGACUCAGCUUGGUUUUAUACAUUUUAGGGAGACAUGAGACAUCAAUCAAUAUGUGUGAGAUGUACAUUGGUUUGGUCCAGAAAGGUGGGGCAACUCAAAGUGGGGGCUCCCAGGUUAUAGGUAGAUAAGAGACAAACAGUUGCAUUCUUUUGAGUUUCUGAUUAACUCAAAUUAGCCUUUCACUGAAUACACAAUUUACAUGUGAGAGAGGGGUAGGGGAACAAUCACUGAUGCCUCAGUCUGGCUCAGUGAAUCUGCGUUUUUACAUAGACAAUAGAGCAGAGGAAACCAUCACAUAUACACUGGUCUCAUAUGAACAGAGGGAUGACUUUGAGUUCCAUCUGUUCUUUGUCCACGAGGAAUUUCCUUGUGGGUAAAUUGUGAGCAAGGUAUGUAAAUUUUUGUCUGUGUAGUGAUCUUAUUUACGAAUAAAAUAGGAGGCAGGUUUGCCUGAUGCAGUUCCCAGCUUGACUUUUCCCUUUGGAUUAGCGAUUUUAGGGUCCCAAAAUGUAUUUUCCUUUCACAGAUGUUUUAUGAAGACACUAUCUCUGCUUUCUAGAAGAUUCUAGUCUACAUGGAAAAGGCAAGCAAGCAUGGCAGAGUGAAAGGCAGCACUGUGGGUUAAGACCAUGGACUCUGGAGUUUGCUGCCUGGUCUAAAUCCCUAGUUACUUAUGGGUCAUGUACCAUGCCUCAGUUUACCCCUCCAAAAAUGAGGAUGAAGAUAACAACAGUGUCUCCUUUAUGGAGUUGUUAUAAGGAUGAAAUGAGUCACUGUUUGCAAAGCUCUUAGAACAGCAUCUGGCGUCACACACCUGCAGUGUUUGCAAAAUAAAUAAUACAAGAGUAAAAUACAAAAUUGGGCCUUGACAACUGGGAUGAGACCACAUUUAGUUUUGAAGAUGAGGUUUGGCAGUUUUCCAUCAUGAGGGUUUUUUUUUCUAAGCAUGGUUUCCAUUGCUCCAAAUCUGUUUUGGGUUUGUGGGAAAGGCAAAUGGGAAAGAAUGUGAUUCUGAAAUGCAGGGAACUUUACAAAGCUUUCAAAGAUCACAGCUUCACCUUCCCGAGAGCAACUCCUGAAAACAGAGACCUGUGUUUCUGCAAAGCACUGUGCAAGUCGCCUCUCCAACAAGUCUGGGUGGAUGGAGAAGUUUCCAGGCUCCCCUGAAAUCAACACUCUCGUGUUGAUGGGGAGAAAUUAAGAACAAGAGGAUUUGGCUAAGGUCCCAGCGUGCGAUGGCGUCUGAGCUGAAGUGCUGGGCUGCCUACAGAAAUCUCUUCUAGAGAUUGAGCUGGAGUAGGAUUUCUCUCCUCUGAACAAGUAGAUGAUUAUACAAUGUUCCAUUCUCAGGGGGUAAAGCCCUCUCCAGUCUUCCCAAGACCCAGUGAAGAAGAAGAGAGGGUUCCUAGCUAAGGAAGGGAGACAAGGGUGGUGGCUUUCCACGGCUCCCGCACGUGCUGGGUGUGAAGCUGGUAGUGGAAGUGUGUUUCCUCAGCAGCUGUGAGUCCUCAGAAUACUGGGUCCCCACGGACCAGCCAGCAGAGGGACAGCCCUUCCUUAGUGGGGCUCUCCAAGGGCCAUAGGAGCACCAUGGGCUGGUGCAUGUGGCCUCGGGCUGCUCUGGGGAGAGGGUCAUUGGUCCCUCUUACUCACCUCCUGUCGGGAGUGGCCAGACACAGCCUGACCAUACAAGGGUGACUAGGAGUUUAGGUUCGAGAGUAUUGAGGGUGGCCAGGCAUUCCGAGUCCAGGGCCCUCCAGGCAAAAACAACUCAUCAACCUUUUGAAAGCAACAGCUGAGUCACUAAUACCAUUAGCAACCAGAAUUUGCACUUUCGGUGUGCCGGCAUUCUUCUGAGUGUUUUACCUAGAGUCACUGACUCAAUUCUCACUGAAACCCUAGGAGGGAGGCAGUGCUAUUGCCUCCAUUGUAUAGAUGAGGCAACUGACACUCAGAGAGGUGAAGUAACUUCCUCAAGGAUACACAGCUUAUAAACACUGGGAUUCACACCCAGUUAGUUUGGCUCCAGCAUUCCUGCUUUUGACCCCAACAUUACACAGCCUCUGAUUUAUACAAUUACAAACAUUUUAAAUACUGGAAGCUGAAUUCAAACUGCAUCCACCAACUUGACUUCUAAGACCCCAUACACUUUACCUGAGGGGUGCUCAGCCACCAGGCAAAGAAUGGGCUGCAGUGACACACUGGCACACGUGCCUCCCGCUUGCGUCUGUGUUCUAAGCUGCUGCGUCCCUGUUGAUGUGCACUGAGCUUGCGAGUGAUUUGGACUCUCGAGACAAUUUCUUUUUUCUUUUCUUUUUUUUUUUUUGAGACGGAGUCUCGCUCUGGCUGGAGUGAAGUGGCGUGAUCUUGGCUCACUGCAACCUCCACCUCCUGGGUUCAAACAAUUCUCCUGCCUCAGCCUCCCAAGUAGCUGGGAUUACAGGUGCCCGCCACCAUGCCUGGCCAUUUGUUUUUGUAUUUUUAGUACAGACGGGGUUCUACCAUGUCGGUCAGGCUGGUUUCAAACUCCUAACCUCAAGUGAUCCACCUGCCUCAGCCUUCCAAAGUGCUAGGAUUACAGGCCUGAGCUACCGCGCCCGGCCUCUCGAGACAAUUUCUGUUCAGCCAACUUUUCCUAUAUCUUUCUCAAAAUUAUUAGUUUCCGCCCACUGUUCCAAUCGAAUAUGGUCUCUUUUAUGAAUACCAGCUCUGUCGCCUGCAGCACAUUUGCUCUCCCUGGAAGCUUUGGGUCAUUUGUGGAUCUGGACAGCGUGUUUUCACUGAAGCCGCUGGGUGAGAACAGUGGAGGCGCAGGCGCAGGCUGGGGGCUGGGCAGACACUUCCUUUAGGUGCUGCUGUGUAUUCAGCUAUGGAUCCAUCCACUGUGCACUCCCAUCCAGCCGGUUUGUCCCAGAGGUGGUGGUAGGGAAGUUCCAGGACAUUCCUGUUUCCUCCGCUGCCUUCUCUCUUAGCUGAGCCCUUUCUCACCUUUCCUCCCAGACCCUGUUCCCUCCCCUUACUUGCGGGGCAUCCUCGGGGACAGGUUCUGAAACCACAGCUGUGGGCCAGCGUUCCACCUAUUGUCUGCGAGCCAGCAGAGCAGAACAAACCUGCCUGAGAUUCUCAUUACAGCUUGUGAUUUGGGAGACGGGCCAGCUGCGGCUGUUGCCAGGGCAACCAGUGGUGCGGAAAAAGAUCCCAUUAAAACACUUCUGAAGAAAG